rnacentral:rRNA from 1 species
GACGAACGCUGGCGGCGUGCUUAACACAUGCAAGUCGAACGCUGAAGCUCAGCUUUUGUUGGGUGGAUGAGUGGCGAACGGGUGAGUAACACGUGAGUAACCUGCCUCCUUCUUUGGGAUAACGCCCGGAAACGGGUGCUAAUACUGGAUAUUCACUGGUCUUCGCAUGGGGGUUGGUGGAAAGGGUUUUUCUGGUGGGGGAUGGGCUCGCGGCCUAUCAGCUUGUUGGUGGGGGGAUGGCCUACCAAGGCUUUGACGGGUAGCCGGCCUGAGAGGGUGACCGGUCACAUUGGGACUGAGAUACGGCCCAGACUCCUACGGGAGGCAGCAGUGGGGAAUAUUGCACAAUGGGCGCAAGCCUGAUGCAGCGACGCCGCGUGAGGGAUGGAGGCCUUCGGGUUGUGAACCUCUUUCGCUCAUGGUCAAGCCGCAACAAUGGUUGUGGUGAGGGUAGUGGGUAAAGAAGCGCCGGCUAACUACGUG